GACGGGGGGGGCGAGCGUUAUUCAUAAUGAUUGGGCGUAAAGGGUGCGUAGGUUGUUUUACCAGCUUUAUAUGAAAGUUUAGAACUUAGUUUUAAUAAGGUAUAAAGGUCGUAAUAAACUAGUUUUUUUGAGAAGGUGGCGGUACUCUCCCUGUAGAGGUGAAAUUCGGUAACAGUGUAGAGGACCAGCGGUAAGCAAAGGCGGCUUCCUAGCAAAAAAAGACGCUCAGGCACGAAAAGCAUGGGUAGCAAAUGGG
rnacentral:rRNA from 1 species